AUUGAACGCUGGCGGCAGGCUUAACACAUGCAAGUCGAGCGGGGGAAGGUAGCUUGCUACCGGACCUAGCGGCGGACGGGUGAGUAAUGCUUAGGAAUCUGCCUAUUAGUGGGGGACAACAUCUCGAAAGGGAUGCUAAUACCGCGUACGUCCUACGGGAGAAAGCAGGGGAUCUUCGGACCUUGCGCUAAUAGAUGAGCCUAAGUCGGAUUAGCUAGUUGGUGGGGUAAAGGCCUACCAAGGCGACGAUCUGUAGCGGGUCUGAGAGGAUGAUCCGCCACACUGGGACUGAGACACGGCCCAGACUCCUACGGGAGGCAGCAGUGGGGAAUAUUGGACAAUGGGGGGAACCCUGAUCCAGCCAUGCCGCGUGUGUGAAGAAGGCCUUAUGGUUGUAAAGCACUUUAAGCGAGGAGGAGGCUACUUUAGUUAAUACCUGGAGAUAGUGGACAUUACUCGCAGAAUAAGCACCGGCUAACUCUGUGCCAGCCGCCGCGGUAA
rnacentral:rRNA from 1 species